AUUCAUUUCGCAACACCUACGGCUUCCACUAGAUGUCAACGAUCUUUAUAAAGUUGUUUGAAGCGUCUAUGAUAAACAGAGAGCAAAUUAGAAUCCAAGGAAGUUGACAUGUCAUCACUUCAUUUUUUUGCGCCUGCGCAUAAAUCUGAGAAACGUGAGUUUGUCAUCAUUUUUAUCUAGACAUAGGAUAGGUUGUGUGAAAAUAUUACUGAUGUUUAACGUUAAAAAUGGACCAAAAGAUUAAUGCUAAAUAACAUUUGACAUGUUUGAACGAACAUAAAUAGAUUAUUUACUAGGUUUUUUUAGCUUUUCGGCGUGAUUUUACCAGCCCCCCACCACGUUUUGUGGGAGCAUAAUGAACGCUAAGUACUUGGUGUUAUUUGGACAUAAAUUAUGAACUUUGUCAAAAGAAACCACAUUUGUUCCGGACCUGGAAUGCCUUCCGGACCUGGGAUCCUGCCUUCUGAUGGAGAUAAUCAAAGAUAAAUGGCUCAUGAUGCACUGAAGAGGAGCUUUGGAGUGGUUGAUGUGAGGCAGACUGAGGCGUUUGUCCAGUCCACUAAAAAUAACAUGAACAUUGACCGUCAUUUUCUUUUUUCCAGUGAAAACACCUCCUCCAUUUACAUGCUAUGAAUUUUUAAUUCUUCAAUCUGCAAUGAUACGCAGUUUAAUUCAAACACUUAUUCAGUAGGCUUGGUUCUGUAAUUAAUGAUCACUGCAGGGGUUUCUCUUCACCCAGAUCCUAAAUGUAACCAUAAUAGGGUGGCAAGGUGCAUCAUGGGACCUCCUCCAAGUCACAUUACGAAUGUAGGAUCUUAAUUUUAUCACCCUGUUGCAGGAGAACUUUCCUCCAAUGCAGGACAUUUAAAACGUGUAGUGGUUUAAAAAGGCUUCUGAUGUUUGUAUUUUCCACUUGGAAAUUUCAGACUUGAUUUUCCCCUACGAAAAAUAUAUCAACCCCUACAAAAUGUUUUAAGAAUUAUAAACGACAUUAUAAUUCAUAUUUCCUGUUGAUGCAGGAUUAUUUUCCUGCUGUAGUAAACUCGCUCAAAUUAAGAUCAUACAUCUGUACGUGUUCACACUGUUAAGGGUGUGCUGUGUGAUAUUUCAUCUGACUAUUGGGUUACUGUCAGGCACCUGUCAGGCAAAACACCACAGUAAACAAACACAUACAAAUGAAAAAUGACCCUCAACUUCAUUGUCAAAGAUUUUAUGGAUCUAAUUCAAUACAGAGUCAAACAGACGAGCUUGCUGGGGCUAAUUUGAUUAGGAGGGGUGCUAUAUAUAGAGUCGGGACAGGAUGUGGGUACUCAAAUGACAACAAUCAGAAAGCCCACACACACAUACCCUCCUGCAGCCCAGAGUGGUAGAGGUCAUCUUUCACGUGAGCCCCACUGCUACUCUUCAAAGAUCAACUGGACAGGCAGUUUUGUUAAAAUUGGACAGGCAGUUUUAAAAUACAAGAUCAAAGAUGAGUCAAAAAGCAAGCUCUUCAGUGACAUCAUGAAAAGCUUUGUGAUGAUAUUUGCUUGGGUUUCCUGUGAUGAUGUAUUCAAGCCAAGACAGUAAGUGGUAGACUCUAUCCUCCUCUCUGUCUGUCAGCCUUGAGAUGGGCCAUGGAAGUCUUCAAGCCUGGGGGGGCUGCAUAAUCUCAAUCAGUUCGGCAUGCUUAUUGGAGCUGAUCAGAUCCAUGAACAACACAGAGGCAUCAUUUAAUGUCAGUGAAUGACAGAGAUUGAACCAUCCCACUAAGGGCAUUGUGCCGAUUUCAGUCUUAUCAUUUUCAAAAUGGUAGACAUGAUUCAUGCUUCCAAGCUAUCUCUUGCUUUUCAUUUGAAGGGGGCCCGCAUAUUCUCUAAGUAUGGCUGGUCUGUUGCCCUAUGUGGAUGUGUUCAUUCGAAUGAUCUACAUUCAUUUGUUCAGUGAAAAAUAAUGGUCUGUUGAGAAUUGUGAUGAAUAUAAAAAGCUCAGCCUUUCCCCAAACCAUCUUGAAUAUGAAGAGUUUGUCCUUCCAGCUAUUUUUGUAAUAAAAUGUGUAGUAUGCAAGACAGAAAACAACUUGGAUAAAAAAGAAGGAACAACUAUGCAUUAUGCAAAAGCUACUUCCACUGACUAAUGGUGCCCUCUGUGACUCACAGGACGAAACCACCAAGAGGAGGGUGGAAAAAUAUAUUUAUAGACAAAGAUCCUGGGAGAAACUGAACAAAGAAGAAAAAAACUGGGAGGGGUUAGAAUAUUAUUUCCAUGCACCACGUCCCCAUUUUGAUUAAUUUGAGGAGUCAACAGGGAACCCAAAGCUGUGGGCUACAUUGUGUCAGCGUGAGUUGAACUACAUAUCCAUAUAGUAGGUCCACAAGAGUACAAACCCCUCCCACGUGCCGCUCUGGUGUACAGGUAAACCCUGCUAGGGGACAUGAUACUGGACAAGAUAAUACAAGUGCAGAGUAAGACUUAUUUUUAAAAGAGAAAGACAAUUUCUUUUCAUCUUUUUAUUUCGAAGAAGAAAUAUAUUAGAAUAAAGGGGAUUUGUUUUGACGUGUCAUUGUAUUUCUGAUGAGCAGACUUCAAUUACACAAAUAACAUGUCACAUCAGAUGUUUUUUUUGUUGGUCCUAAUGUGUCACAACAGGUGUUUGUUUGUUGGUCCUAAUGUGUCACAUCAGAUGUUUUUUAGUUGGUCUUACUAUGUCACGUCAGAUGGUUUUUUGUUGGUCCUAAUGUGUCACAUCAACA
rnacentral:lncRNA from 1 species